rnacentral:rRNA from 1 species
GUGGGGAAUCUUCCGCAAUGGACGAAAGUCUGACGGAGCAACGCCGCGUGAACGAUGACGGCCUUCGGGUUGUAAAGUUCUGUUAUACGGGACGAAUGGUACGACGGCCAAUACCCGUCGUAAGUGACGGUACCGUAAGAGAAAGCCACGGCUAACUACGUGCCAGCAGCCGCGGUAAUACGUAGGUGGCAAGCGUUGUCCGGAAUUAUUGGGCGUAAAGGGCGCGCAGGCGGCGUCGUAAGUCGGUCUUAAAAGUGCGGGGCUUAACCCCGUGAGGGGACCGAAACUGCGAUGCUAGAGUAUCGGAGAGGAAAGCGGAAUUCCUAGUGUAGCGGUGAAAUGCGUAGAUAUUAGGAGGAACACCAGUGGCGAGAGCGGCUUUCUGGACGACAACUGACGCUGAGGCGCGAAAGCCAGGGGAGCAAACGGGAUUAGAAACCCUGGUAGUCC